AACAUACCUAAAUGUCAUAUUAGUUGUUCAGUUUCUCUCCUUCGGGACAGGCAAAGAUCAUAGACCAUACAGCCUGGUAAGUCAUAAAUAUCAAUGAUAACAUUUCUGGUUACAUUGAAGAA